GAUGAACGCUAGCUACGUGCCUAAUACAUGCAAGUCGAGCGGCAGGGCGAUAAGCUUGUGUCUCUGUUGUUAGCGGCGGACGGAUGGGUGACUCGUGGAUAACCUACCUUUCAUACAGGGAUGAAUUCGGGAAACCGAGGCUGAUAACUAAUAGUAUGUUUGACCGCAUUGUUCGAUAGUAACAUUCAGGAUUUAUGGCUCUACUAGAGGGAUCCGCGCUGCAUUAUAUAGGUGGUAAGGUCAGGGCUUACCACGACAACGAUGCAUAGCCGACCUGAGGUGGGGAUCGGGCACACUGGAACUGAGACACGGUCCAGACCACUAUGGUAGGCAGCAGUAGGGAAUCUUACGCAAUGGGCGAAAGCAUGACGGAGAACCGCCGCGUGAGGGAUGAAGGUCUUCGGAUCGUAAAACUCUGCUACUAGGGAAGAACAUUUGUGUAAGUAACUGGGCACAGCUUGACGGUACCUAAUCAGAAAGCCACGGCUAACUACGUG
rnacentral:rRNA from 1 species